GCAGAGGUGGCGGAGCGGCCAAACGCGCUAGCUUGAGGGGCUAGUGGCUUAGUGCCUUCGAGAGUUCGAAUCUCUUCCUCUGCA
rnacentral:tRNA from 1 species